UGUGAUGCCAAAACGCACUCU
rnacentral:siRNA from 1 species